AUGGCCGAGCACAAGUCUUCCUCAAGCGUCGCCUGCUGUACCAGUGUCGAGCUCCCCACGCCCACCGCUACUCCUAGCCCCUCUCCUCCCUGGAUUUCGCCCAGUCUCCAUCUCUCUUUCUAGCCAUGGACGGCGACCUCUCCUGCCUACAGCAGGUACGUUAAUUGAUCACGUGCUAUGGAAGACGAGUGGAAUUGAUCUCCAAGUGAUGCUGAUGGACGAAGCUAAAAUGGAUGAAUCAACCAAGUGUCAGGAUGGAAGAUACUUACCAAGUGGUCGUCAAUUAACAACACUAACAUAGUGUUUAUCCCAGGCAAGCCCCGGUGUUAUAAUUUUGUUCUGUUGUGGAUGCUGCUAAGUGCCGGUGGGCUCGGCCUUCUUAUAUAAGUAUAUCCCAUCUUUAACUUCUUUAUUGAGGAUUGUCACUUAAGCUAGCAUAUAUUUUAAAACUUAUAAAUGUUUUAUACAUUCAAAUUGUAAUCUUUCUGAAUCAUUUUCUUUUGUAAUCACUCCGAUGAUGUAUAAUAAAAUCCUGAUGUAACUUGUAAUCAUUUUGUAAUAAAGAAUUUAUUUCCGC
rnacentral:lncRNA from 7 species